ACCUGCCUAGCUCAAUUGGUAGAGCGUGGGUCUCUGAAUCCCAGGGUCAUGGGUUCGAGCCUCACGUUGGGCA